GAGAGAGAGAGAGAGAGAGAGAGAGAGAGAUAGAAAGAGAGGAGCUUACGAUAUAUCGCCCUCCUUCCGCGAUUGUUCCUCGGUCUUGGCGGUAACCCAAAAUGAAUCGACGGCUCAUUCUUGCUCGUUUUAAACGUGGCCAUUUUCCAUCGUUUUUCAUCUAUUCGAUAUAACGAUCUUAAACAUGUGCCCCGAUUUCUGAAUACCUUUUUCUACCUUAUAGUAUCGAGUCCUUUGUAUUAUAUAUUUGAAUAAAACUUGUGUCUCUACGGUAGCAUUUAGCCAAACAUUCCUCCCGAGACAUUCUUCUCUCAACGCGAGAGUAAAACGCUUCUUUUCUGUUACGACUCUCGCGUAAACAUCCUACGCGUAAACCUCAAUUGCCGUUUUUCUUCGAGAAUUCGAGCAAAAAACGUUCACGCGGAUAACUCUACAAUUUCUGUCGCGGGAAGGAUCGUCGAUUGAUGAUACUUUUCUCGUGGAUAGAGACGGCAGAGUUCGGAUAUGAUGGCAAUCAACUUCGAUCAAUGCAUUCCGAUCAAUGUGCGGUAUUUUUAAGAGAUGCUUGCGUCAAAACUGAACAUACAUUGUACGUCAUUCCGCGCAGAGACGAACCUCUGAUUUCUUACCUGUUUAUUCCGUUUUACCAUUACAAUUUGCCUAUCGUUGAGGGAAAAUAUGGCCUUCCCCCUCUUUUUUCUUUCUUUUUUCUUUUUUUUUUACACGAUGGGGUAAACCGCUGAUCCGGAAAGGUUCUACCAACGUUCGCUAAAAUAAACGGAAAAAUGAUAG